rnacentral:rRNA from 1 species
AUUGAACGCUGGCGGCAUGCCUUACACAUGCAAGUCGAACGGCAGCACGGGUGCUUGCACCUGGUGGCGAGUGGCGAACGGGUGAGUAAUACAUCGGAACAUGUCCUGUAGUGGGGGAUAGCCCGGCGAAAGCCGGAUUAAUACCGCAUACGAUCCACGGAUGAAAGCGGGGGACCUUCGGGCCUCGCGCUAUAGGGUUGGCCGAUGGCUGAUUAGCUAGUUGGUGGGGUAAAGGCCUACCAAGGCGACGAUCAGUAGCUGGUCUGAGAGGACGACCAGCCAAACUGGGACUGAGACACGGCCCAGACUCCUACGGGAGGCAGCAGUGGGGAAUUUUGGACAAUGGGCGAAAGCCUGAUCCAGCAAUGCCGCGUGUGUGAAGAAGGCCUUCGGGUUGUAAAGCACUUUUGUCCGGAAAGAAAUCCUUGGCUCUAAUACAGUCGGGGGAUGACGGUACCGGAAGAAUAAGCACCGGCUAACUACGUG